CCCCUAGUAACGGCGAGUGAAGAGGGAAAAGCCCAGCACCGAAGCCUGCGGUAGUKUUACUGCUAGGCAAUGUGGUGUUUGGGCCGGCUCGUGGGAUUGCCACUCCRUUCGAAGUCCAGCAUUGAGUAUGGUACCCUGGAUUUGGCCCAUARAGGGUGAAAGGCCCGUGCGAAUGGAAGUUUCANAUAUKAAAGGCGAUUCACCAGGCCGGCCUUMRANUCGGKUUGUUUGAAAAUGCACCCCAAAGUGGGUGGUAAACUCCAUCCAAGGYUAAAUACUAGCACRAGUCCGAUAGCGAACAAUUMCCGUGAGGGAAAGUUGAAAAGUNCUCUGAAGAGAGUAGUAAACAGUACGUGAAACCGCAUAAAGGUAAACGGGUGGCGUCAAGCUGCAAGCCUGGAGGAUUCAGCUGGUCAUUGUGUAGGGUAUACGUCCUGUGUAUCGCAGUCGGUGAUAGUGAGUAGUCUGCUGGCAAACGGCAGGUCUGGCCGCAAGGCUAGGAUGUACGUUCCACGUGUUCGGUGGAGUACGCUGCUCGGCUAUUGGACUGGAUGGCCAGUGCACUUCCUCCAUUAAGGUGAACACCACGACCGGUGGAACUGCCAGUCUGGUUUAGCCAAGUUGUGUCUAUUCCGGCAUUCGUGUGGAUUAGGCUCAAUCACAGGCGGAUUCGGUGGACGGUGAKCAGACUUCGGWUUGCUCAUGUUAUCGGUCACUGGCUGUCAACGGGUCUGUCCSCUGARGUUGACAGUCCUUGGUGGGUGGCUUGGUAGGNUAUUCUGGUAAGAAUAWCUGUGCAGGGCACCGGAGUUGUCGGUCUCUAAUCCGGUUACGCGCGNNNUGCAGGCGUGUGUGGAGGUGCCAUUGCGGCCNGUCGUUGGUUGGGUYUAAUKUCCNUKUSSCYUGCAAAAGUAGGUCCNNAANUAGCUCGGCUACGNUCGGUGCAUGAAGUGGUGCUUCUNUGUCAGUCGGUGUGGACCCAACAGUCUGUGGUGUAGUGNUAUNNAAGNUANCCNACCCGUCUUGAAACACGGCCCAAGGAGUUUAACAUACACGCGAGUCAUUGGGUGCUUUCGAAACCCACAGGCGCAAUGAAAGUGAAGCCUCCAUUUGGAGGUGUGGUGAGAUCCUGCUGUUACUCGCAUCUGCACUUGUGUAGCUUGUCGGCACAGGACGCAAAGAGCGGUGGGCGCAUCACCGGCCCGUCUCAUGGUGUGGUCAUUGGUUGGUUGCUGUAGCUGUGGUUGCGGCUGUGGCUGCUGUAGCUCCAGUGCGUCAUCGAGGCGGAGCAUGAGCGUGUAUGUUGAGCCCCGAAAGAUGGUGAACUAUGCUUGCGUAGGUUGAAGCCAGAGGAAACUCUGGUGGAGGACCGAAGCGAUUCUGACGUGCAAAUCGAUCGUCAAACGUGAGUAUAGGGGCGAAAGACUAAUCGAACCAUCUAGUAGCUGGUUCCCUCCGAAGUUUCCCUCAGGAUAGCUGGCAUUCAUUCGUAUCAACAGUUUUAUCCGGUAAAGCGAAUGAUUAGAGGUGCUGGGUUCGAAACGAGCUCAACCUAUUCUCAAACUUUAAAUGGGUGAGAUGCCUCACUCGCCUAACAGGAGUGGGGCGUUGAAUGUGCGAGUGCCAAGUGGGCCAUUUUUGGUAAGCAGAACUGGCGCUGUGGGAUGAACCAAACGCUCGGUUAAGGUGCCUAACGCUGACGCUCAUGAGACACCACAAAAGGUGUUAGUUAAUAUAGACAGCAGGACGGUGGCCAUGGAAGUCGGCAUCCGCUAAGGAGUGUGUAACAACUCACCUGCCGAAUUGACUAGCCCUGAAAAUGGAUGGCGCUGGAGCGUCGGACCUAUACCGGGCCGUCACCGCAAGCUGAGUCGCUGACACUGUGCAUGCGAGCAGCAUAUGGCUGGGUGUUGUCACUUGGUCGCUGUUUGGCGUCAUGGCUCAGGCAAGGAGCGUGGUGACGAGUAGGAGGGUCGCCGUGGUGAGCGGAGAAGCCUCGGACGUGAGUCUGGGUGGAGCCGCCACGGGUGCAGAUCUUGGUGGUAGUAGCAAAUAUUCAAGUGAGAACCUUGAAGGCCGAGGUGGAGAAGGGUUCCAUGGGAACAGUAGUUGACCAUGGGUCAGGCGGUCCUAAGCGAUCCGGUGACUCGGUACAGAGACUUUGGGGUGCCUUGCAUGUCCUGUGUUUGAACAUGUUUGUGUACGUUCGUUUUGCUGGUAGCCCCCCGGAGCGAAAGGGAAUCGGGUUAAUAUUCCCGACCCUGCCACGGAGAUAGACGUGCGUGUGGCUGCGCUGUUAGGCAUGCUUCCUUGUGUUGUGUGUACUAUGGUGCGUGCUGUGCGUCGUCAAGCGCGGUAACGCAACCGAACUCAGAGACGUCGGCAAGAGUUCUGGGAAGAGUUUUCUUUUCUUUGUAAGGAGUGCUACCACCCCUGGAAUCGGGUUGUCCGGAGAUAGGGGUAUCGCCUCCGUAAAGCACCACCCCUCUUGUGGUGUCCG
rnacentral:rRNA from 1 species